rnacentral:rRNA from 1 species
GGGUUGUGAGGUUAAGCGACUAAGCGUACACGGUGGAUGCCCUGGCAGUCAGAGGCGAUGAAGGACGUGCUAAUCUGCGAUAAGCGCCGGUAAGGUGAUAUGAACCGUUAUAACCGGCGAUUUCCGAAUGGGGAAACCCAGUGUGAUUCGUCACACUAUCAUUAACUGAAUCCAUAGGUUAAUGAGGCGAACCGGGGGAACUGAAACAUCUAAGUACCCCGAGGAAAAGAAAUCAACCGAGAUUCCCCCAGUAGCGGCGAGCGAACGGGGAGGAGCCCAGAGCCUGAAUCAGCAUGUGUGUUAGUGGAAGCGUCUGGAAAGGCGCGCGAUACAGGGUGACAGCCCCGUACACAAAAGCGCAUGUGCUGUGAGCUCGAUGAGUAGGGCGGGACACGUGGUAUCCUGUCUGAAUAUGGGGGGACCAUCCUCCAAGGCUAAAUACUCCUGACUGACCGAUAGUGAACCAGUACCGUGAGGGAAAGGCGAAAAGAACCCCGGCGAGGGGAGUGAAAAAGAACCUGAAACCGUGUACGUACAAGCAGUGGGAGCCCCACCACUAAGCCAGUGGUGAACUCCACAUACGCAUCCUUUGCUGAGGAUACGGUUAACGGAGCGCAAGCGACGUUCAACCGCAAAAGAAGCAGAGGGGGCUUAGUGGUGGGGUGACUGCGUACCUUUUGUAUAAUGGGUCAGCGACUUAUAUUCUGUAGCAAGGUUAACCGUAUAGGGGAGCCGGAGGGAAACCGAGUCUUAAUUGGGCGUUAAGUUGCAGGGUAUAGACCCGAAACCCGGUGAUCUAGCCAUGGGCAGGUUGAAGGUUGGGUAACACUAACUGGAGGACCGAACCGACUAAUGUUGAAAAAUUAGCGGAUGACCUGUGGCUGGGGGUGAAAG